rnacentral:lncRNA from 1 species
GCAACUUGUGUACAUAUGUAUCUUGCUAUAACUAUAAGCAUGAUGGCAUCGAGAAUACCUCUAUGGAGAUAUUGAAGAGUCAUUCCACGACAUAAUAUGAAGAUGUUCAUAUCUAUCAAGAAUGAUAAUAUCAAGGUGCGGAAUAUUUAUUCAAGUCAAUAUGGUUGAUUUAUUUAUCAAAUCUCUACCAAAGAUCGUUUUGAGGAUAGUGCACAAGAUUGAAAUUCAAAUGCUCAAGGAUGUGAAUUGAUGCUCUAUUCAGGGGGAGUUUAUGCGCGUUGCACUCUUUUUUCCUUACAAGGUUUUGUCCC